rnacentral:rRNA from 2 species
AUACUGUGAAACUGCGAAUGGCUCAUUAAAUCAGUUAUCGUUUAUUUGAUAGUACCUUUACCUGGAUAACCGUGGUAAUUCUAGAGCUAAUACAUGCUAAAAAUCCCGACUUCGGAAGGGAUGUAUUUAUUAGAUAAAAAACCAAUGCCCUUCGGGGCUCCUUGGUGAUUCAUAAUAACUUCUCGAAUCGCAUGGCCUUGCGCCGGCGAUGGUUCAUUCAAAUUUCUGCCCUAUCAACUUUCGAUGGUAGAGUAGUGGUCUACCAUGGUCUCAACGGGUAACGGGGAAUUAGGGUUCGAUUCCGGAGAGGGAGCCUGAGAAACGGCUACCACAUCCAAGGAAGGCAGCAGGCGCGCAAAUUACCCAAUCCCGACUCGGGGAGGUAGUGACAAUAAAUACUGAUACAGGGCUCUUUUGGGUCUUGUAAUUGGAAUGAGUACAAUCUAAAUCCCUUAACGAGGAACAAUUGGAGGGCAAGUCUGGUGCCAGCAGCCGCGGUAAUUCCAGCUCCAAUAGCGUAUAUUAAAGUUGUUGCCGUUAAAAAGCUCGUAGUUGAACCUUGGGCCUGGCUGAUCUGUCCUCCUAAUCGAGCGCACGGAUUCGGUCGGGCCUUUCCUCCUGGGGAGCCGUAUGCCCUUCACUGGGCGUGCCGGGGAACCAGGACUUUUACCUUGAAAAAAUUAGAGUGUUCAAAGCAGGCCUUUGCUCGAAUACAUUAGCAUGGAAUAAUAGAAUAGGACAGAGGUUCUAUUUUGUUGGUUUCUAGGACCGCUGUAAUGAUUAAUAGGGAUAGUCGGGGGCGUCCGUAUUCAAUUGUCAGAGGUGAAAUUCUUGGAUUUAUUGAAGACGAACUACUGCGAAAGCAUUCGCCAAGGAUGUUUUCAUUAAUCAGUGAACGAAAGUUAGGGGAUCGAAGACGAUCAGAUACCGUCGUAGUCUUAACCAUAAACUAUGCCGACUAGGGAUCGGACGGUGGUUUUUUUAUGCCCCGUUCGGCACCUUA